rnacentral:rRNA from 1 species
AGUGGGGAAUAUUGCACAAUGGGCGCAAGCCUGAUGCAGCCAUGCCGCGUGUGUGAAGAAGGCCUUCGGGUUGUAAAGCACUUUCAGUCGUGAGGAAGGCGGUGUCGUUAAUAGCGGCAUCGUUUGACGUUAGCGACAGAAGAAGCACCGGCUAACUCCGUGCCAGCAGCCGCGGUAAUACGGAGGGUGCGAGCGUUAAUCGGAAUUACUGGGCGUAAAGCGCAUGCAGGUGGUUAGUUAAGUCAGAUGUGAAAGCCCGGGGCUCAACCUCGGAACUGCAUUUGAAACUGGCUGACUAGAGUACUGUAGAGGGGGGUAGAAUUUCAGGUGUAGCGGUGAAAUGCGUAGAGAUCUGAAGGAAUACCGGUGGCGAAGGCGGCCCCCUGGACAGAUACUGACACUCAGAUGCGAAAGCGUGGGGAGCAAA